rnacentral:rRNA from 1 species
CCUACGGGUGGCAGCAGUAGGGAAUAUUGCACAAUGGGCGAAACCCUGAUGCAGCAACGCCGCGUGCAGGAUGAAGGUUUUCGGAUUGUAAACUCCUUUUGUUAGGGAAGAUAAUGUCGGUUUCUAACGAAUAAGCACCUGCUAAAACCUUGCCAGCAGCCGCGGUGAUACGGUGGGCGCAAGCGUUACUCGGAAUCAAUGGGGGUAAAGUGCGCGGAGGCGGGACAGCAAGGCAGAUGUGAAAUCCUAUGGCUUAACCAUAGAACUGCAUUUGAAACUGGUAAUCUAGAGUCUGGGAGAGGUAGGUGGAAUUCUUGGUGAAGGGGUGAAAUCCGUAGAGAUCAGGAGGAAUACUCAUUGCGAAGGCGACCUGCUGGAACAUAACUGACGCUGAGGCGCGAAAGCGUGGGGAGCAAACAGGAUUAGAUACCCGAGUAGUC